rnacentral:rRNA from 1 species
CAGUAGCCGCGGUAAGACGAACCGUGCAAACGUUACUCGGAAUCACUGGGCGUAAAGCGCACGUAGGCGGCUUGGUAAGCUAGAGGUGAAAGCCCAGGGCUCAACCCUGGAAUUGCCUUUAAGACUGCCGAGCUAGUAGGUGAGAGAGGUGAGUGGAAUUCCGAGUGUAGAGGUGAAAUUCGUAGAUAUUCGGAAGAACACCAGUGGCGAAGGCGGCUCACUGGCUCAUUCUAGACGCUGAGGUGCGAAAGCGUGGGGAGCAAACAGGAUUAGAUACCCCCGUAGUCCCUGUCUCUUAUAC